GAAGUCAACAAAUGAGAACACCUGGGGAAUAGGAGUGAUGCUGGGGGCUGCAGGACCUGGGUUAACCUCUACAUCACCAGAGGAACAUAGGAGGAGUAGGAUAAAGAGAACCUGAGCCUUAGGACCAUGCCUCAGGACUACCUGACCUGAUGACUCCUGGCUGUGUCCGUCCCCAGUUCACCUGGUCGUGCUGCUGAUCCAGUUUCUGCUGUUUUGCAUGUGGCUAUUUAAUCCUGAGGUGCUGACCUGUUGCACCCUCUACAACCACUGUGAUUAUUAUUUGACCCUGCUGGUCAUCUAUGAACGUUUGAACAUCUUGAAGUAAGAUUUGGCCUUAAUGGCCAUGUACGCUUAUAAUCUCCACCCAGCACAGCCAGAAGAGGAAUGGCCACCCCUCAGGGUCUGGUUCCUCUCUAGGUUUCUUCCUAGGUUCCUGCCUUUCUAGGGAGUUUUUCCUAGCCACCAUGCUUCUAGAUCUGCAUUGCUUGCUGUUUGGGGUUUCAGGCUGGGUUUCUGUAUAAGCACUUUGUGACAUCUGCUGUUGUAAAAAAAAAAGAAGCUUCAUAAAUACAUUUGAUUUGAUUGAAUAUAAAGUGUUAUGUUUGGUGCAAAUCCAACACAACACACUCUUCAUAUUUUCAAGCAUGGUGGUGGCUGCAUCAUGUUAUGGGUAUACUUGUCAUUGGCAAGGACUAGGGAGUUUUUUUAGGAUAAAAAUAAACAGAAUAGAGCUAAGCAGAGGCAAAAUCUUAAAGGAAAACCUGGUUCAGUCUUUUUUCUACAGACACUGGGAGAUAAAUUCACCUUUCAGCAGGACAAUAACCUAAAACACAAGGCCAACUAUACUGCUGCUUACCAAGAGGACAUUGAAGGUUCCUGAGUGGCCUAGUUACAGUUUUGAAUCAAAUCUGCUUGAAAAUCUAUGGCAAGACUUGAAAAUGGCUGUCUAGCAAUGAUCAACAACCAAUUUGACAGAGCUUGAACAUUUUUUUAAAUGAUAAUGUGAAAAUAUUGUACAAUUCAUGUGUGCAAAGCUCUUAGUGAUGUACCCAGAAACAUUCACAGCUGUAAUCGCUGUCAAAGGUGAUUCUAACAUGUAUUCUAUCUCAAGGCCAUCAGACUGUUAAACAGCCACCACUAACAUUGAGUGGCUGCUGCCAACACACUGUCAAUGACACUGACUCAACUCCAGCCACUUUAAUAAUGGGAAUUGAUGGGAAAUGAUGUAAAUAUAUCACUAGCCACUUUAAACAAUGCUACCUUAUAUAAUGUUACUUACCCUACAUUAUUCAUCUCAUAUGCAUACGUAUAUACUGUACUCUAUAUCAUCGACUGCAUCCUUAUGUAAUACAUGUAUCACUAGCCACUUUAUGCCACUUGGUUUACAUACUCAUCUCAUAUGUAUGUACUGUACUCGAUAUCAUCUACUGUAUCUUGCCUAUGCUGCUCUGUACCAUCACUCAUUCAUAUAUCCUUAUGUACAUAUUCUUUAUCCCCUUACACUGUGUAUAAGACAGUAGUUUUUUGGAAUUGUUAGUUAGAUUACUUGUUCGUUAUUACUGCAUUGUCGGAACCAGAAGCACUAGCAUUUCGCUACACUCGCAUUAACAUCUGCUAACCAUGUGUAUGUGACAAAUAAAAAAUUUGAUUUGAUUUAUUGACUCAGGGGUGUGAAAACUUAUGUAAAUGAGAUAUUUCUGUAUUUAAUUUUCAAUAAAUGUGUUAAAAGUUCUAAAA
ensembl:lncRNA